ACGGGUGAGUAACGCGUGGAAAACCUGCCGUAUACUGGGGGAUAACACUUAGAAAUAGGUGCUAAUACCGCAUAAGCGCACAGCUUCGCAUGAAGCGGUGUAGAAAAACUCUGGUGGUAUACGAUGGUUCCGCGUCUGAUUAGCUAGUUGGUGGGGUAAUGGCCUACCAAGGCAACGAUCAGUAGCCGGCCUGAGAGGGUGAACCGGCCACAUUGGGACUGAGACACGGCCAAACUCCUACGGAAGGCAGCAG
rnacentral:rRNA from 1 species